rnacentral:lncRNA from 1 species
AAAAAGUUAAAGUUUCCCUCUUACGUUCGUCUCUCUCAAGUUUCCCUCACUCUCGUCUCUCUCAUUCGCUUUCAUCAUUCUAUGAAAAAUCAUCAUCAAAACAGGUUGUGUGGCUGUGUUUCUGCAGUUUUUUCCACGGAUCCACCAUACCCGGGUUGUGUGUCGGUGUUGCUGCAGUUUUUCCCAUGAUUUCAGCUUUUAUAUUAGACGCAAUGCGCAGGCGAGGCGCACAGGCCUUGGCCGGAGCCUAGGCGCAAGGAGCAAAAAAGACUAGGGCUUUUUCAAGAAAGGCGGAGGAAAAAAAUUAAAAAAUAUAUUAUGCUUUGAAAAUAGAUACAAAAACACAAAAAUUGUGCCACAAAAGUCUUUUUAUAUUGUGGCAAAAAGAAGUGCCACUAAAAGUCCAAAAACUUUGUGCGGCAUGUUGAAAAAGUGCCACUAAAAGGCUUUAGCGUUAGCGCUUCUAGUGACACUUGUUUUGUGUGCCGCCCAUUCCUACAAGGGCCUUUAGUGACACCUUUUUUGUGUUUUUGUGUCACUUUUUGUAUGUC